ACGGAAGGCAGCAGUGGGGGAUAUUGCACAAUGGGGGAAACCCUGAUGCAGCGACGCCGCGUGAGUGAUGAAGUAUCUCGGUAUGUAAAGCUCUAUCAGCAGGGAAGAAAAUGACGGUACCUGACUAAGAAGCCCCGGCUAACUACGUGCCAGCAGCCGCGGUAAUACGUAGGGGGCAAGCGUUAUCCGGAUUUACUGGGUGUAACGGGAGCGUAGACGGUUUGGCAAGUCUGAAGUGAAAUGCGGGGGCUCAACUCCUGAACUGCUUUGGAAACUGUCGAACUAGAGUGCAGGAGAGGUAAGUGGAAUUCCUAGUGUAGCGGUGAAAUGCGUAGAUAUUAGGAGGAACACCAGUGGCGAAGGCGGCUUACUGGACUGUAACUGACGUUGAGGCUCGAAAGCGUGGGGAGCAAACAGGAUUAGAUACCCUGGUA
rnacentral:rRNA from 1 species